rnacentral:misc_RNA from 1 species
ACUGACGAAGGCGACUAUCAGGUAAAACUUCGCAACCUGAUACGUUUCCUGGAAGACGGUGACAAGGCUAAGGUAACCAUGCGUUACCGCGGUCGUGAAAUUGCUCACCAGGACAUCGGUCUCGACGUAAUGAAGCGUAUUGAAAAAGAACUUUGUGUCGACAGAGACCUUGCUGUGGUUGAAUCUGCCUCUAAGAUGGAAGGUCGCCAGGCUGUCAUGGUGUUAUCACCGAAAAAAAGGUAGUAAUCCGGGGAAGUUAACCAAAGUGCUGUACUGAUGUACGCCUCCCGUAUUAUGUGUUUUUAAUAUUCCAAUGUGGAGUUUUUUUAUUAUGCCAA